rnacentral:rRNA from 1 species
CUGUCUCAGUUCGGAUUGGAGUCUGCAACCCGACUCCAUGAAGCUGGAUUCGCUAGUAAUCGCGCAUCAGCCACGGCGCGGUGAAUACGUUCCCGGGCCUUGUACACACGCCCGUCAAGCCAUGGAAGCCGGGGGUGCCUGAAGUGCGCUGCCGCAAGGAGCGCCCUAGGGUAAAACCGGUGACUGGGGCUAAGUCGUAACAAGGUACC